UCACCUCCACAGGAUGCCGGCCCCAGGCUGGGCUGGGCGAGUAUCUCUUGGAAAGGCUCACCCUCAAGCAUGACUUUGAGA
rnacentral:pre_miRNA from 1 species